UAAAGCUGCCUAAACCCCCUAAAGGCACCAGAUCCCAUCUGAUCUUGGAAGCGAAGCAGAACCAACUCCAGUUAGUACUUGGACAGGAGAUUGCCAAGGAAUACUAGGUGCUGUAGGCU
rnacentral:rRNA from 1 species